CACUUCCUGGAUGGCAGGGGAACAGACUUCUGUUGGUCACAACAACUGCUGCCUGCCAUGGAAGAGACUCCAUCAACUUUUGACACUAUGAGGCUUCCCCAGCUAACAGCAGCCCAGAUUGAAACUCGGCCAGUUUCUGACCAGUCAGGAGAGAGCACGGGGACUUUGAUGUCUGUCAAAAUAAUAAAAUAUCUUGUACUGUA